rnacentral:rRNA from 1 species
UUGUAAUACCGGUGAAGAUGCCGGGAACCUGCGACAGGACGGAAAGACCCCAUGGAGCUUUACUGUAGCUUAGUAUUGAAAUUAGGUAAUUAAUGUACAGAAUAGGUGGGAGGCUAAGAGAAUAGGUCGUCAGAUUUAUUGGAGCCAACUUUGGGAUACCACCCUUUGAUUACUUGACUUCUAACCGGGAGCCUUGAAGCAGGUUACGGGACAAUGCUUGGCGGACAGUUUGACUGGGGCGGUCGCCUCCCAAAGAGUAACGGAGGCGUCCAAAGGUUCCCUCAGCACGGUCGGAAAUCGUGCAAAGAGUGCAAAGGCAAAAGGGAGCUUGAUUGCGAGACCAACAAGUCGAGCAAAUACGAAAGUAGGGCUUAGUGAUCCGGUGGUAGAAAGUGGAAUUGCCAUCGCUCAACGGAUAAAAGCUACCCUGGGGAUAACAGGCUGAUCUCCCCCAAGAGUUCACAUCGACGGGGAGGUUUGGCACCUCGAUGUCGGCUCAUCACAUCCUGGGGCGGAAGUACGUCCCAAGGGUUGGGCUGUUCGCCCAUUAAAGUGGUACGCGAGCUGGGUUCAGAACGUCGUGAGACAGUUCGGUCCCUAUCCGUCGCAGGCGCAGGAUAUUUGAGAGGAGCUUUCCUUAGUACGAGAGGACCGGGGAGGACACACCACUGGUGCACCAGUUGUUUUGCCAAAAGCAUAGCUGGGUAGCUAUGUGUGGAACUGAUAAGUGCUGAAGGCAUCUAAGCACGAAGCAAACCUCAAGAUAAGAUAUCCCAUCGAAAGAGUAAGACCCCUCUAAGACUAAGAGGUAGAUAGGCAAGAGGUGUAAGUGUAGUAAUACAUUAAGCUAACUUGUACUAAUAGGUCGAGGACUUAACCUAAA